UUUCCGCUGAUCAUUUGUUUUGUUCGCGUUAAUUUUGUUGCUUCUCGUCGGGCUCCUGCGGCAAAAAAUUGAAAGGGAGUAGAGCCAGCUUUAGGAAUAUUUUAGAAAGCCUGCUCUCACCUUUUUUUAACUCAACAACAGCACCGGCAAACUGGAAGACGAAAACAUUAAAAAAUCCGAACCAGCUCUUUCGGAUAAGGUAACGAAAAUGUCCGAGAAAAUAUUAGCAUCGCGACUACCGAGGCAGUACCGAAACUCAUUGGACAGUUGGUUGUUACAGGUUAUGGCUGCUAGCUGCCUUCAGAGUGGAAGAUCGGUUGAGGGAAUUAUUGACCGUCGAACCGGGCGAAUAAUUACUACACACCAAUCGAGUGUUCAGAUUCCAAGGGGGCGCUAUUCGACCAGAAAAUUCACUUUGAAGGCCCACGAAAAUUGCCGGAAAGGAAAUCCAUCCACAAUACCUGCGGCGGUGAUGAAGGAUACAUGUCCCAUCUUACCUAGCAUCUAGAUCAUCAAUUGCCAAUUUCAUCCGGAAUAUAAGCAAAUGUAAGUUUACACCAAUUGAAUAAAUAAAAGUGACAAACA